rnacentral:rRNA from 1 species
GAUGAACGCUGGCGGCGUGCCUAAUACAUGCAAGUCGAGCGAACGGACGAGAAGCUUGCUUCUCUGAUGUUAGCGGCGGACGGGUGAGUAACACGUGGAUAACCUACCUAUAAGACUGGGAUAACUUCGGGAAACCGGAGCUAAUACCGGAUAAUAUUUUGAACCGCAUGGUUCAAAAGUGAAAGCCGGUCUUGCUGUCCCUUAUAGAUGGAUCCGCGCUGCAUUAGCUAGUUGGUAAGGUAACGGCUUACCAAGGCAACGAUGCAUAGCCGACCUGAGAGGGUGAUCGGCCACACAGGAACUGAGACACGGUCCAGACUCCUACGGGAGGCAGCAGUAGGGAAUCGUCCGCAAUGGGCGAAAGCCUGACGGAGCAACGCCGCGUGAGUGAUGAAGGUCUUCGGAUCGUAAAACUCUGUUAUUAGGGAAGAACAUAUGUGUAAGGAACUGUGCACAUCUUGACGGUACCUAAACAGAAAGCCACGGCUAACUACGUG